UUCCUGUUUAACGCGAAUUAAAAACGACGUAUCUAUUUACUUUUCCUCUCAUUUGUAUGCCCUUUAUAUAGACGCUUCACGUAAAGCAAAAAGAUCCAGGUCGGCGGUCAUCCAGGGAUAUCACGUCCUUUAAAAGCAAAUCCUAGAUGAGAGGAAUGCAGGCACAGGACUGCAACUCAGGAUACAGUUCACAUACUCCCCCUUCCCCGAUCACGUGAUCAGCGCGGACUUGAUACAUAAAACUGGGAGGGGUUAAUAUGCGGAGGCGGGGCUUGAUUUAAAGGGGCACACCUCUAGUUUUUUGUGAUCUGUCCAACAUUGAAAUUCUGAUUCUCUCCAGUAAAUUGUUAUUGUAGACCCCCUGUGGUAAAAAUUAAGUUUUUAUGUGUCUUUGUGGUGGUUUUAAUAUGCUUUAAGACAAACCAUGUGCAAAUUCAUAAGUCAACACCAUUGCUGAGUAUUUUCUCCUUAAAACUGUAGUGAUCUAAAGACUCUGGUGUCUGUGACGUCACAAACUACCUUGUAACCAAUCACGUUAACGUGCUGGCUGGUUUUAGCAUAUCAUUAACAGCGAACUAGCAGGGGGGUUCCGAGAAAAGCCAGGUUAUCCCGGUAUAUUUUUCUGUUGAUAUGAAAAAUCGUGUAGAUUUAGCAAUAUGGCAGGUGUAUGAUGUAUAUUACGAUGUUAUGAUGACUGUAUGCCUUUCUCCACUGACGUUCUUUAGUUGUUCAAAGCAUUUGUAAGGAAACUAAAGCAGUUGGCUCUGACAUGGUGAACGGGAACAUGGUUUGUGUAACAUUAGCAACACAUUAUUAGCUGUUUGAUAACGUAGUCAAGCAAAAUGCUAAUCAUAUUAAUUACCCUUAUGUGUCUGAAUCUGAUGUUGUAAAGAGCGAUACCAUUGUGCAGCGUUUACCUCAGUAAGUUGACCGAGUGGAUCUCUGAGCUCCGUGAGUGGGUGGAGGCGGGGCAAAUUUGCAUAUUCAUCGAUUUGCGUAUACUAAAUGAGGCAAGGGUGUGGAGUUACAUUCAAGCUAUUUUAAGGCAUGAAGAUUUUUUUCAGAGGAAAAAAUGUUUAAAUAUGUCAUUUUGGUGAUCAAAGAUGAGUUUUAAGGAAUAAAAUGAUUGACUACAGGGGGACUUUAAGCAGCAAUAAACCACACGAGACAGGAGUAAUGAACUUCAUCCAUCUUGUUUACUAUUUCACUUCCAUACUCGCACACAUUACAGCACACUCCAAAAUAGUAGUCACUAAUUCUAUUAUUUACUAAAAUUAUUUUACUGGGUUUUAAUCUACCAUCCAGCAUCUCAUCCAGUUAGGUCUCAUCAUCCAUCCAGAGAUUGCUGUAUAUCCCUAAGUCAAAGCUGAAAUGUAGGGAUGACCGGACCUUUUCAGUAGUUGCCCCCAGACUCUGGAAUGCCCUACCCAUUUCUAUUAGAUUUGCUCCAUCUUUGUCUGUUUUUAAAUCGAAGCAAAGAUUUAUGUCUUUGAUAUGGUAUGUAAUCAGUGAUGAAGUUUUAUUGCAUUGUAUUUUAGUGAUGACAUUGUUCUGUUAAGUCUGUUAUGCAAUGUGUUUUUCUUUUUCUUGUUGUUAUGCAGCACAUUGGUCAACUUUAGUUGGUGCUAUACAAAUUAAAUUGACUAUCUCAACAGCCCACCAGAGUGCUGUUAAUCAUUUAACAUGCAAAGAGGGCAUUUACACACACGUCUUGAAGGGACAGCAUCAAAAUACAGGGCAUACAAUUCUAAAGGUCAGAGACAGACUUGGUUCUCAAUGAGGAAUUUUGGUGCCUUGGUCACAAAAAAACAAACAAAA